AUGUGUGUCGGGGUCUGGUUGCACAUGCGUGUCAAGGUCUGGCCACACAUGCGUUGGGGAAGUCUGUGUGCACGCACACAUGUGUGUCGUAUCGGGGUCUGGGUGUACAUGCGUGUCGGGAUCUGUGUGCACGCACAUGCGUGUCGGGCUCUGCCGCUGCUUGCGCGCUCUCGCAGCUGGGUGCUCGAGGCCUCUCCCGGGUCCAGGGUGCGCAUGCGCGCUGGCCUCCAUGGGUGGCGGGACCGAGUGUAUGACUUGCGUGGGAGUACGAGGCUGACGCGGCGGCCCUGUCCCCGUAACUGUGACACGGGUGCACGCGAGCGUCAUUGGGGGCGAUGGGGGCCUCGCUGGGUGCGCUUCUGCACUGGUGACGCAACCGCUGUGUCUCCGCCAGUCCGCGCAGGCCAGCAUCCUUCAGGAAAAGCACCCCCGAGGAGGAAGAGCAAUCGUUAAACAUCUUAAAGGGUCAGGUGAGUAUCCCUUUUUUUUUUUUUAAAUUAAAUGAUAUGUGUUUGUAAGACUUAAGACCAAACAUUAAAUGUAGAUGACCAAGAUUUGAGUCCUGUUUCUGCCUGUUAGCUUUUUGAGCCUUCUGAAGAUAGGCUUGUGAGGAGGGUGAAAUGCAUUAACAUGUGUAAAACCAUAGACCCGCACCCCGGAGUGUGAGUGCGCAGUGAGUGCUGCUGUUAUGUGCUGAGUCUGGAUGUCGGUACAUCAGGAGCAAUGUAUAUAUGAAGGUAACUGAGAUGGGUGUUUGCAAGUUCACAAAAUGAACCACAGCCUCAAAUGGUCUAGAACUGUUAUCCUUAACCUGAGGGCCUUCCAUAAAGUGAACCAAUUUUGUAAAAUACAAAAAUUAGCUGGAUCUGGUGGUGCAUGCCUGUAAUCCCAGCUCCUCAGGAGGCUGAGGCAGGAGAAUCACUUCAACCUGGGAGGCUGUGAACCUGUGAUGAGCUGAGAUCACGCCACCACACUCCAGCCUGGGUGACAGAGCAAGACAUUGUCUCCAAAAAAAGCUUUGUGACUAAAUGUGUGGGGAGAAGCAAGCUGUUGUAGUGGACAUCAGUUGGUGUCCUGCAGUUCAAUUCUGACACCGUCUACCUGGAUAUGGCAUCAGAUUCCACAGGUUGUGAGCAAGACUGUCCCACUCUGCCCCACUAGCCACAAGACCAGGCCUCUGGGACAUCUUGCUAACCCUCCGCAGGUUGGGGUUCUUUUUUUUUUUUUUUUUUUUUUUGUUGUUGUUGUUGUUGUUGUUGAGACGGAGUCUCGCUCUGUCGCCCAGGCUGGAGUGCAGUGGCCGGAUCUCAGCUCACUGCAAGCUCCGCCUCCCGGGUUCACGCCAUUCUCCUGCCUCAGCCUCCCAAGUAGCUGGGACUACAGGCGCCCGCCACCUCGCCCGGCUAGUUUUUUGUAUUUUUAGUAGAGACCGGGUUUCACUGUGUUAGCCAGG
rnacentral:lncRNA from 1 species